AACAUACAAAGCAAUUCAUUUGAAAAACUUAUUCAUAAUACUUUGUAAAUACUAUUUAACAAGAACGUAUAAUAGUGUGGGUAUAAGUCUGUAAACUAUAUAUAUGACUUAAAAUGCAAGAUCUAUUUGUAAAACGAAGGCGAAAAAACUCGAUAGUCUCAUGUUCACAACAUGGCACUUCGCCCAGAAGCUCUGUUGUAAGAAUCUGAAUGUUCACUAUUGAAGGCAAGAUGAACCUGGAUAUGAACGGCGAAAAAUCAUGCGGCACCUCUCCUCGGCUAGUUUUAAGUAUUUCUUCCUCGUGCAAAAACAACAUGAAAAUUUCCAUCCGAUGUAUGACCAAAGAAUUGCGAAGAAAGAAAAAUUUGAAGCGAUAUAAUCAACCAACCUGAAACCAUGUUCAUGUACCUAAUGAGUGUCAUCGCCCAACAGUAAUGAAGCAUAGAGGUCAGACGACGGGACAUCGUGAUGGAAACAGCAACUAACCUGAUAUCCAAACACACAUCAAUCCAUGAUUUGACAAGGUAAUGUCACUCAAGUUACAUCGGGAUCGAAAAUUUAGCACUGUAAUGAUGACCAGGCAUGCAUUAAAUUCUCUUAAUCAAGCAUGCUGUCUCUUCAAUGUUUCUGUAAUGAACUGAUCCAGGAACUAUGGAAACCUCAUUAGGGAGAAUAUCAGGAUUGAUGGGAAGAGGAAAAAUUCCAUAUAAUGGACCUGUACCUUUUUAAUUAAAUGCAUCAAAACAAUGAGUUUUUGUUUUUAUUGCACCUAACGUGUAUUUUCACUCAUAUAAAUAACAGGCUUGAUUAAUGUCACCUCGGUUUUUUUUUAUUUGUUAACUAUAUGUUUCAUAACAUGAUUUUCAUUUAUAUCUAGCAUUUGUUUGAACAUAAAACGUUUGCUCACGACUUCAUGCUGAUCUAUAACUUAGUUAUGGACAGCAUUCGUACUAACCACCUGCUCACAAAACUUUCAGUAAAUCAAGAUGGCCACCCAAGCGACCCUUUGUAAUUUUAUUUAUAAUCCGAGGAAGUUACUUAUGGCUUUAAUAAUAUGAUAUUUAAUGAGUUUUUUCAUAUCAGGAUGCUAAAGAGUUUGUAGAUUAUUCAAAAACUACCCCUCUGUUCCAUUAAAUAAAUUUUUGAUGAAGAGAUACAAUCUUUGUGAGCGUUAUCUCUCUUUUCACAGACACAUUGUGCCUUAAGCAGUCGAAGUUACUUCCCUUAUCAAGUGAUAUGUGUACCGUAAAGUUUUUAGACCCGAACAGAAAGUCAGAAACCAGGCAGUGAUACUGUUAUCUCUUUAUACAGAUUAUAAUUUAAUAAUGUUUGAUUUCUUUUGUUCCGGAAAUACAUGUCUGACAUUCUGCAAUACCGUUUCCCCCUUAAUGUCGCACUAUCUCAUGAUCAGUUUUGUCAAUUUGAUUUUUGUGUUGUUUUUGGAGAACUGCAUCUAAUUUUACUUAACAACCAAUCUUGCCUUACAGCUAACAUGCAUGCAGAUUGUACUUCUUUUUCAUUACAAAAGAGGUUAAAUAUGAUCAAAUAAUUCUGUUUGAUUCAGAUUAUCAGAUAGGCCGGUUUUCGAUGCAGUGUCUGCGGUUUUAGUAAAAAGCAAUAUCGUUUACUUAAACGGUUUCCUACUAUUUAGGUUUUCGUUCGGAUCUUGAAAGAGAACGUCGUAUCUGACACAUUAUUUCGCUUUUUAUUGAAUUUUUUAUUGUGUUGCAGAAAAAAACCAUAACACGUCAAGUUUAACAAGUUUCCAACGGCAUCAAUUGUUACGAAAUGAAACGAAUUCAUCUUUUUUGAAAACCAAUAAAAAAAAACAAAAUAAUAAAAACAGAAUGAUUGACCUUUAAACAACAAAGUAAUAAUCACCAAAACACAACUUUUAGCACCAUAAUAAUGCUACAGCUUACAUGUAUACAUGGUAUUAUAUCACAUACAGUAGUUUAACUGAAGAUAUAUGUCUCCAGUUUCAGUUUUAUGGGAUCUACUUUCAAGUAGGGCACUACUAACAAAGUUAAAGCAAGGCCGUGUUAAAGAGUCUCUGGGGAUAAGUGAUACCAGCUUUACAUAUAAAUGUUACAAAAUAGUACAUCGUGGUACGGUUGCCAUAGAAUCGUUCGUCUGUAUGUUUGAUUAUCAGUGCUGCUCUCUUUGAUACUUUAAAUGAUGCCAAUCUAGAGUAUAAAAUAUAUAUUUUUUUUAAACAAAGUGAAAUAUUGACAAAGUGAUAGAGAAAAAAACAACAAA